rnacentral:rRNA from 1 species
AGUGAACGCUGGCGGUAGGCCUAACACAUGCAAGUCGAACGGCAGCACAGUAAGAGCUUGCUCUUACGGGUGGCGAGUGGCGGACGGGUGAGGAACACAUCGGAAUCUACUUUUUCGUGGGGGAUAACGUAGGGAAACUUACGCUAAUACCGCAUACGACCUACGGGUGAAAGCAGGGGAUCUUCGGACCUUGCGCGAUUGAAUGAGCCGAUGUCGGAUUAGCUAGUUGGCGGGGUAAAGGCCCACCAAGGCGACGAUCCGUAGCUGGUCUGAGAGGAUGAUCAGCCACACUGGAACUGAGACACGGUCCAGACUCCUACGGGAGGCAGCAGUGGGGAAUAUUGGACAAUGGGCGCAAGCCUGAUCCAGCCAUACCGCGUGGGUGAAGAAGGCCUUCGGGUUGUAAAGCCCUUUUGUUGGGAAAGAAAAGCAGCAGGUUAAGACCCCGCUGUUCUGACGGUACCCAAAGAAUAAGCACCGGCUAACUUCGU